AAGCAACGACAAAUCGUCGUCGUGUUGCUGCCUGGUGCCCUGAUUUUUAUUGGCCUGCUAUGUGUGUCUCAUUUUAUAAUGUUAUUUUAAUUAUGUCGUUACCAUUUACGGCACGAGGUCUAUAUGGUAAUUUGAGUUUUCCAGGCGGUCAAUCCAAGGACGAUGGCAUUAUAGGAGAUGUCGCAAAUAUGCCUGUUGUACUUGAGGUGUUUCUGAUAAGCUUGUUCUUUCUUGCCAAUUUAUUUGGUUUUAUUAAUGUGAUUAAGAGAUCGGGUCUUGGCGUGGCAUUUUAUGAAAUCGUCCAUUAUGUCCAAUUGCUCAUAGCUUUUAUUUGGUGCUCGAGUGCCGAUAUCAAGUCUCAUGUUAUGUCACAAUAUGUAUUAGGAUGGUGUGCUAUCAUUGGUAUCGUUAUGCAAUUGACCUCUACAGUUGUAAUGACGGUGUUUACUCUACAAUUGGCAGAUCUCAUCGAGGAUUAAGUGAUCAUCGUUCAUACAGAAAAACAUUUAAAACAAUAAACGUAUUUCAUCAGGUGGUUUUUGGCAUGAAUCGCUUGAAGUUUAUUUUGAACAAUUGCCUGUAAUCUGGGGUACCGUCGCAAAAUUCUAUGCCACAAAAGAACACUACAAUGAAGUUCGGGAAAAUAGAAUCAAUGGGACAAUAUCAACGUUGGAACAAGAACUGACACAUAAAAUAGGCUCAUUACACCAGUCAAUUGUAACGAGAUCAAAACAAGCUGAUCAAAAUUUUGAAGAAUUUCGUUAUAAUUACAAUCAUGAUUAUAUUUUCUCCGAACAAGCACCAAUUCGGACUGCAUUCAAAUCAUCAUUUUCAACAAAAGAUAUAAAAAAUUUUAAUCCUGAUGGUGAAAUUGGUACAGAAUUAUUCAUGGAAUCAAUCAAAGGAGCAGCAUGUUUUAUAUUUCAAAAAAAA